GGCUCUGUAAAGUUUGCAGGAGCACAGCACUGUAUACUUAGAAAUCCUGCUUGAAAUCACAUUGAAACUUAGAGGUUAGAUUUAAUUUAAGUAAAAUAAAAAUAAGACAACUGCAUAUUACGAUGAGGUUUUUCUCAUUGGCUUAAACAUCAUAGAUAUGCUACAAGUAGCUGGUUACUGCUUGCUGUUGUAAUGAUUUGUGUGUGCCGUGUGUUUGAUAUUAUGGUGUUUUGUAAGGCAGGUAAGUUUGUUUUACCGAUCUGCUUACGUUCUUCUUUUUCUUUUUAUUUUUAUAAAUCAAUGUGAUCUGUUUAUGCAGUGUAAGUUGCUUUAUAGGCCUGCUAUUUUGCAGCACUCAUAUUUUAUUCUAUUUGUGGAGCAGUCAAACACAGCUUUAUAUGAUAGUUUGAGGUAAUUAUUUCUUUUUGAACAAAUGAUAUCAGAGUCUUUAUGUAGUGAUUAUAUAUAUUAUGUAGGAUUUCAUUCAGUGAAGUCCCUAGGGCUGAAAGAAAACGAGAAAUCAUUCAGGUAAAGAGGAUUGCCUCAAACCUCUUUAGGGUUCUUGAGGGAAUUCAACAACACUAUAGAAAUUAACACGAUCAAUAUCAUUCAGAAAGGAGGAAGGAGCAGCUAUCUUAUUAUUGAUAUAAAAGCAAUAGGCAGAUUGUAUAAGCAGGACCAGGCAGAUGAUACCACAGUUGGCCAAUCUUGUAUUCCAGCAAUUCUCCACUUCCAUCAUCCUAUUCUCAUGGAAGAAAAUUGCCCCAUCAGGUCAUCCAACUCAAAAUCUGACUAUAGCUAUAUAUCUCAUUGAUCUUUGGUUAUCUACAGAAUCCAAUUUCCCACUCAUAUUUUAUUGUAAUUUUAAAAUGAAGAACUGAUUAAAAACUGCGUGCUGAGAGAAAAGGUACCAGGGGACAAGACAGGUUUGCAGAUAGGGAAGGUGUCAACUAAAAAUUAGUUCAAAAAUAACGUCACCUAUUUUACGUUGUUUAUGAGAUUAUGAUUAAACUAAUAGUAUUGGUCUUUGUUAUGGUGGUGUGGGACAAUAAUUUGUUUAAUGAUAUAACUCAAAUUGCUAUUAUAAUAAUAGGGUGGAACAACCAUUCGUCAAUCAUCUUCUCUAAUUCGUUUCUCCUUUUGUCUGUUAUCUGCAGCGAAACCUCAAGGAAAUGAGCCUUCUCUUAUUAAACUCUCUUUCUUUACUCAUAUUGUGCUAGUCAAGAAAGUUACCUUUUGGCUCCAGUCAAAUGAUGGAAGCAAAAUUUUCCACAUUGUCAAGAAUUGCUUCUAUUAAGUUUGUAAUUUUACUGCAUAUUUUUAUUGUGAGGCAUUGUAAACACUAGUACUAAUUAACCACCACACACACUCUGCCUCCACCUAUGAGUUUAACUCAAGAGUUGGUCAUUGUGGUUAGCUGUUAAAUCGAUUGUAAGACGGAGAAUACAAGUCAUAUAUAUGAUGUGAAGUGGAUGUUACUUGUUGAA